rnacentral:tRNA from 1 species
GAGGGUAUAGCUCAAAUGGUAGAGCACAUGCUUGACAUUCAUGAGGUUCCCAGUUCAAUCCUCAGCACCUCCU